rnacentral:rRNA from 1 species
ACAUCCAGCGAACUUGGCAGAGAUGGCCUUGGUGGCCUUCGGGAACGCUGAGACAGGUGCUGCAUGGCUGUCGUCAGCUCGUGUUGUGAAAUGUUGGGUUAAGUCCCGCAACGAGCGCAACCCUUAUCCUUUGUUGCCAGCGAUUCGGUCGGGAACUCAAAGGAGACUGCCGGUGAUAAACCGGAGGAAGGUGGGGAUGACGUCAAGUCAUCAUGGCCCUUACGAGUAGGGCUACACACGUGCUACAAUGGCGCAUACAAAGAGAAGCGACCUCGCGAGAGCAAGCGGACCUCAUAAAGUGCGUCGUAGUCCGGAUCGGAGUCUGCAACUCGACUCCGUGAAGUCGGAAUCGCUAGUAAUCGUGGAUCAGAAUGCCACGGUGAAUACGUUCCCGGGCCUUGUACACACCGCCCGUCACACCAUGGGAGUGGGUUGCAAAAGAAGUAGGUAGCUUAACCUUCGGGAGGGCGCUUACCACUUUGUGAUUCAUGACUGGGGUGAAGUCGUAACAAGGUAAGCGUAGCGAG